ensembl:lncRNA
AUGAAAUCUGAAUCUGUGCAACAAGAAGGGAUCCUAAAUGUGCUGAUAGAACCUGACGAUGAGUCAGAGGUGACUGUUACUGACGGUUUGAAGGCUCUUAAAAGCAAAGAAAAGCUCAUGACAGGAAGUGAAGAUAAGAUGAAGAAAACGUUGUUAGUUCAGGAUGAACCUACCAAACAAAAAGAGUUUUCUGUCCAAAGUACUGAUUGUCCAACAGCGAGCGUUGAAAUAAAAGACAUUAAAAAAGAUACUAAAGCUUCUCCAAGAAAAGCAAGAACAUUAGAAUUUACAGUCAAAUGUGUUUGUGAUGAAAAAGAGACGAUAGAAGCACAGCAGAGAGAUAUUAACGGACCAGAUGAACCCCAAAUACCUGAAGCUUUGUCCCAAGUCCUUCCACUUAAAGACAAACGGGUCAGAACUUCUGAGAUGAAACCAGACAGAGACGACCGAGUCAAACUCCCAGAACCACCGCCAGAUAGAGAAACCCUUCAAAAGCCUGAGAUGGUAUCUGAGAAGAAAGAUGCUUCUAAGAAAGUGAGACAGCAGACAGCUGUGAAAGACGAGGACCAAGUCGAAGCUGUCCAAGAAAAGACAAAACCAGCCCGAGCUGACAAACUGUCCUCUUUGAGCUCUGAGCGAGAGGGAGCAGAGCAUCGUGGAGACGACCUUCCUUCUAAAGAAACCAAAGGCCUGACAGAGAUGGUCACCACUGAAGAUCAACAACACAUCGUUCCUGAGGCAGAGGAGAUACCUGCUGCUGAUGGAAAUGAUGCAAAAUCAUUGACAGAACCAGAUACUCCUGAGUCAAAAGAACCAGCAGGUGAAGGUCAAACAUGUGACAGUAAAACAAGACGUGAAACCUUUUUGUCAGAAGUGCCUCAACUACAAGAAGUUCCACUAAAACGUGAAGAUGUUCAGGUUCAGUCGCAGGUCAGAGGAGAUGCAAUCAACAAAGUUACAGAUCUAUUUACUCCCACUGAAGAGCAGAAAACAAAGAGAAAGCCUCUGAAGCAGAGACCAAUCACAAGUAGAGCUGGCGAUGUUCACUCAAAGAUGAGGGACCAAACUCUUAACAAGGUCACAGAGCAGCACCAAAGUCUCUCUGCAGAGAUUCAAACACCUCCCGAAGACGAUUCACAAACUGUGACGAGUCAGAAACCACCUGAAAGGAAAUCCUCCGUUGGUCCUGAGGCGGACGCAACUUCUUCAGAGCCGGACACCACAACGGGUAGAAGUGGUGGAACCGCAGCAGAAAACCUUCCACUAAAAGACGAUGGCGCUCAGCAGGAAACGCCGCGGGAGUUUGGCAGAACAUCGGCUGAGGAUCUGCAGACAAAGUCAUUCCUAAAAGAGAAAAGCCAAAGGCCAAAAGGGCAAAGGACCUCUCCUGAGCAGGUCCUGUUCCAGACAGACGGAGUCAAACAUGAUUACAGUUUCGCACAAACAAAAGAGGAAAAAGUGGGAAGAAAGUGCCUGCUGGCUCCCGUGAUGGACGUUUCAUCUCAAACAGGUCUGGUGGUGACAGAAGGAGACGUUGAGACGCAGACUCUCCAAAGGUCUACUAAACCGCACCAGCAGGUCCAAGUCAUGGGCCAAGUCGUGUCAGAAGGUCACCUGGUUCAGACACACACGGCUCCUACCAUCACAGAGCAGUUAGCUGCCAGAGGAAAGACCUCGACCACAUCCAAACCAGAAGAAACACCUUCAGAAAUGUAUAAAACCACCACAGCUGCUGAAACAAAGAUGGCCGACAUGGACACCGAGCACGACGAGGCAAAGAAAUCUAAGUCCCUAAAAGGGAAAAGACAGAGAGUUGCCCUUGAAGAAGUGCAGUCCACGACGGUUAGAGAUGAGAAGAUAAACCAGCAACACGUCAAGCAAGCCACUCCGUCUGAAGAACAUCUCACAGUCAAAGAGGGACAAUCAGCCGCCCUGCAGAGGAUCGCUGGACCCGAGCAGCUCCUACAGGACGAUACAUUAAACAAGUCUCCUCUGGGGAGUCCAGAGUCCUCCAGGGACAUCCUGGAGGCUUUAGCUGGUGAACAAGAGGUAACAGGUCCAACCGACAGAGUUGAUACAGCAGCAACCAAACGGAAACAGGCUCAGCUGAAGUCUCAGGAGACAUCAGGAAAAGUGUCUGAAACAAAGGUGGUGGACGCAGAACAUCCACAGAGACAGCAGGGCGCCCGAUGUGAGCGAGCAGAGGUCACCGGGGACGAGACAGACACAGAAACAGAGAGGGAGCAGAUAGAAAGAAAAGCUUCAAGGACACAGGCGAUGGACGUCGCACAUGAAAAACCAUCGAUUGGGAAAGAACAAGAUCUUAUCUCAGAUACUCCACAAAAGUAUAUUUCCCCCGACAAUCUAUUCAGAGACAUUUCACUCAGAAAACCUGAGGAGUCUGAGGGGGUAAAGAAAGACAAUUCCACAGAGGACCAAAGACAAGGGUUCAGAGCAGGAGAAAGCAGGUCAAAGGGUAAAAUACUGGAUGACAAGACGAGCAAAGUCUCACCAGAGUCCACCGCUGGAGUUUCAAUGCGAGGCACUCAAAUGACCUUCAGUGAAGCCGAUAAAAGUCCGUCCACCACAGAGGGAGAAAUUCUGCCAAAAGCUUUCAGCUCUAAAGAUGAAAGUGCUGCCGUUGGUCCUACUGAAGACGCACAAAUUAAGAUGGAACACAUCGAAAUCUGCCAGUCUGCAGAAACACCCGCCAGUGAGGCGACAUCCAGAGAAUCACUUAUCACAGUAGAAUAUGCAACAAGAGGUGAAACUAAAACAAUGUCAGAUGAACGAGACUUUCAAGAUGAUGAGAAACGGACAAAAGCUGUUUCUUUGGUGGAAGAAAUGAAAGUUAAAGGUCGACCCUCAGGAGCAUCGCUGGAGGAGGAAGAGGCUUUGGAAAAAAGACUGAAACCAGUGAAAUCCAAGGAAAUGAAGACAGAAAGCAUCGCAGGCAAAGACCAAACCAUUCAAAGGCUUCAAGAAAAAGAUGAAGAAGCCCUAAAAGCCGCUGGACAGGAACAAAUGAGAGGAGAUCACUUAGUGGUUCCCAGGAAAAGGAAGGAGGAAACGUACCCAGAGACACUCGAUGAAGUGAACACAGAAUCAACAGCUGGUCCCUCAGUCAGAGAACCGUCAGUAACAGAUCAGAAGAAGCCUCCUCAGGAGGCUGAAGCCUCCCGCAGCAGAGAAGCUGCCAAGUCUUCAGGAGGUACAGAAGGGAAACCGCUGUGUGUCACCGAGCACGUGUUGUUUGAUCUGAGCACCAAGCGACAUCGUGUUACCUCACCCAUUGUGUUCCGCCGUGGACACACUGUGUUUGUUAUGUCUGUUAUGUUUCAUCAUACCUGUGUGUGUCUCCAGGUAGAUGUUCUUCUCACACUAGGUGAGAUGUUUCUUCCAUCUUUAAACUCUGUUUCCAUCGUGGAUCUUCUUCGUUCUCUAUUGUCUCUGCGUUGUUCAGCGCUCACUCAUCAGUCUUAA